UACAGGGGGGGCAAGCGUUGUUCGGAAUUACUAGGCGUAAAGGGCUCGUAGGUGGCCAACUAAGUCAGACGUGAAAUCCCUCGGCUUAACCGGGGAACUGCGUCUGAUACUGGAUGGCUUGAGUUUGGGAGAGGGACGCGGAAUUCCAGGUGUAGCGGUGAAAUGCGUAGAUAUCUGGAGGAACACCGGUGGCGAAGGCGGCGUCCUGGACCAACACUGACACUGAGGAGCGAAAGCCAGGGGAGCAAACGGG
rnacentral:rRNA from 1 species